rnacentral:rRNA from 1 species
CAGCCGCCGCGGGAACACAGAGGGUGCGAGCGUUAAUCGGAUUUACUGGGCGUAAAGCGUGCGUAGGCGGCUUUUUAAGUCGGAUGUGAAAUCCCUGAGCUUAACUUAGGAAUUGCAUUCGAUACUGGGAAGCUAGAGUAUGGGAGAGGAUGGUAGAAUUCCAGGUGUAGCGGUGAAAUGCGUAGAGAUCUGGAGGAAUACCGAUGGCGAAGGCAGCCAUCUGGCCUAAUACUGACGCUGAGGUACGAAAGCAUGGGGAGCAAACAGGAUUAGAUACCCCCGUAGUCCCUGUCUCUUAUAC